AAGUAAAUAUUUGAACGUAAUCUUUUCGACCGCCUUGUGUUUUAAGGAGGAUUCACAAUACACAUUACCAGUCUAUAGAAAUUUGAAAAAAGAAAAGAUUGACCAGUUCAGCUGACAUGCUGCCGUUAUCUUUACUGAAGACAGCGCAGAACCACCCGAUGCUGGUGGAGUUGAAGAAUGGUGAGACAUACAAUGGCCAUCUUGUCAGCUGUGACAACUGGAUGAACAUAAACUUGAGAGAAGUUAUUUGCACCUCACGGGAUGGAGAUAAGUUUUGGAGGAUGCCGGAAUGCUACAUCAGAGGAAGCACCAUUAAAUACUUACGAAUCCCUGAUGAGAUCAUAGAUAUGGUGAAAGAGGAAGUGCUCUCUAAGGGGCGUGGCAGAGGUGGCAUGCAGCAGAACAAGCCACAGGGAAAGGGCAGAGGAGGCGGAGGACCUGGAAGAGGAGGCGGAGCCGGAAGAGGUGUUUUUGGUGGCCGUGGAAGAGGUAUGCCGGGAACUGGCCGUGGACAGCAACAAGACAAAAAGCCUGGAAAACCACAAGGUGUCAACAACUAACACUAGAACUAGUACAGAUUCUACAGGUCUCUUGAUGUGCACACAUUAACAUCUUAAGAUUGAUAAUCAACCAAAAGAGUGCGUUUAAUUUGAAAUGGACAUCCUGGAUCUCUGUGAAGAUUUUAAUUUGGAGAAGUCAUGAUGUAAAGACGAUCUUCCAUUUUCACCAGACUGUUUUUAUUUUCGGUUAACUCUCAUUUUGGCCUACGUUUUCACAUUUGCUCUGUUUUAAUUAGAUUUUUUGUUUUGUGCUUAAAAAUACAAUUAUGGCGUCACUUGACUUGUGUAAAAUGCACUUGUGAAUAAAUGAUUUUUGUUAAAUUUUGCAAUUGCUGUUAAUUUGUAAGGACUCCAUUAUGUCUGAAGAAAUUAUACACGUUGAAAAGCAAUGCACAUUUGCUAUUUCUUUUGUCAUAUGUACAUGCAUUAAUUGUGUCAACUAAAAGCAAAGUGCAACUUGAUUGUUUUUCUUUGUCUUUUGCAAACACUAAAAUGCAAUCCUGGCAACAUUGCAUUAUUCCUUAAUGUUAAUGCAUUUUUUGAGUCAUUUCAGAAAGUAAAUUUAACCCCCAUUUUUUAAAUGCCACACUUAUGACUCCAUUACUCAAUAAAAUGAUGUCUGUAGAGGCAGCAAAAAUUCUCAUUCAAAAAUGAGAUGAGCUCUGUGAACAAAGAUCGGCCGACCUGAAAGUGGCCAGAUGAAUUUUGAUUAAAUUAAUUUGGGCAGUGUUAUUUUUUUAUUUUACGAGCUAUUCAAUAGCUGGGCUUCCAUCCAUAUUUGUAUCUGUAUUUUGGGGUAUUGCCUUAAAAUUGUUGGAUGGAAACACCAAGAUAUGAAUAAAAUCUCUAAAAUGUGCAAACUUAUGUGUUCGGUCGAGUUGGCAAAAAACUGUAUUCGAUAAGAAGAAAUGCGCUCCAACUAUGAUGGAAACACAUUUACCGAAUAAUAUUCUAUUAAAUCUAUUAGGAAAACAAGAUGCGAAAAAAAAAAAAAACUUGUGACUGAAUAACAUCGCAUCUGAAAUGUUACUAUGGUCAUUCUAAAAUAUCAGUGUCUAGAAAAUCCAAAUCCUUCAUAGAGUUUGCAGAGAAAAUAAGUCAAAUACAAACUUGAACUGUGCCAAAGAGCAGGUUUAUUGACACUUUAAAAAAAAAUAUGUUAUAGAUCCGCACAGUAAAGUCGUGAUGCGAAGUUCUUCAUGUUUUAGUAUGAAAAAGUUCAGUGUGCUCGAAACCAUGAGUUUUAUAUCAAUAAAGUCACAGUGGCUCAAUUGGUCCGGAAGUGACAGUUUUGUUCUUUUAAAUACUUGAGAUGGAAACACGUCCUUAUUCUCACAUAGUUUUUUUUUUUUUUUGCUGCACAGAGUAAAUUCACAACUUGGAUGGAAACAUAGCUAGUAAUGACUCUUUUGCUGCCACCUACUUUUGUAAAGAUGUAAUUUGCAAAUCUGAUCUGAU